GUGAGCAAUGGAGUCAAAACCUCUUAGCAAAAGCAAUGAGUCCUCUUUCAUUCUUUUGGCUCGGUCGGAUUCUCCGACACUCACACGGGUGGCUGAAGAUGUGUCAAGAUUGAAUUGAUCUUGGCCUAUGGAAACCCCGCAUUGGCGAUUCUCGAGAAGCGCAUCGAUCCGGCUACGGAGAGUGCUCCAGAAACGCUUAUCCGAAGCAGGGCUGAACAGAGGUGAAGAAAUCAUCAAGGUUGUGGACUCCUUGAGGAGGCGAGCAGGGGAUGGCGAAUCCAGCGAAGCAGCCAUGAGAAAGGGAGAGAUAUGUAACGGC
rnacentral:misc_RNA from 1 species